CUGAAUAUACCGAAUUUUCGCCCUUAUUUUUUUUAGGCCAUGCCACGCGGCAUGUCGGCCCCAUUCCCCCGACCAGGAUCGAACCUGUGACCCCUGCAGUGGCAGCGGGGAGUCCCCUAGACCGCCACUCGAUUUUCUCCCUUAGUGAAGAAAUUUGCGCAUGCGCCUGAGCUGUUCCAGGAGCGCGCGUGUGCGACUCCUGGAUAUGAGGACGUCCUCUGAGGCAGAGGUAUCUCAAUCCUGCGGAGACACCGCCCGCCCAGAGAGGGCGCUGUGACUCAACUCUGCUGCCUCAAGGUGACAGAGACACAGGAUCGCGCCCGGAGCUUUUUGGGACUUGUAGUUCAUGGCCUCGUGGUGCGCAAGCGCACUGCCGAAUCCGUCGUGGGCGCGCGUCCCCGGGCGACAACGGCGGUGGGCAAAGGAGAGUCAGAGAAGCCGGGCAGCUUGCACCCACCCUGUGAAACAGUCCAGCACCUGCCCUGUGAAAAUACCCCUGACGACAGGUCCGUGGGGCAAACUCUGCUGUCAGCCCUGCCUGCCCAGGAACCUGCUUUUGCCCAGGAGGGAGGACAGGAUGGCUACUGAGUGCCUGCUCCCCUGGCCCCAGGUGAGUGGAACUUCCUCUCCCUUGAAAGGCACCCAGUGUGUCCAGAGGGAACACACCUGUCAGACAUGGAGUGCCCUUGCCUUUUGGGAAAGGAGGAGAAUUUGUCAUGAGUGGGUGUAGGCAUUCAAGUGGCUCUUAUGUGUAAGGAGGAGGUCCCUUAUCCCUUCAGGAGGACUGUGCCUCCUUCCUGGGCUCUAAGCAUCUCUGAAGACCCUGAAGUUUCUCCCAUAGAGCAGGGAGGGGUGCCCCAAGGCGCCAUCCUCUUUAAAAUGCAC
rnacentral:lncRNA from 1 species